ensembl:lncRNA
CUCAAGGCACCUUCACAUUAAGGUCAGUCCAUAUGGCUAACAGUAGAUUUAAUAUUUCUAUAGAAGCAGAAAGAAUGUUAAUGUUUCUGGGGGGUGAACCCAGGGGGACAUGAGGUCCAGGACAAGAGGGUUAUGGUGUGAACCCAGGGGGACAUGAGGUCCAGGACAAGAGGGUUAUGGUGUGAACCCAGGGGGACAUGAGGUCCAGGACUAGAGGGGUAUGGUGAACCCAGGGGGACAUGAGGUCCAUGACUAGAGGGGUAUGGUGAACCCAGGGGUACAUGAGGUCCAGGACUAGAGGGGUAUGGUGAACCCAGGGGUACAUGAGGUCCAGGACAUGGGGGAAACUGUUCAUAUAAUUAAAAUUCCAUCAUUUCAGUUAUUUUCUAUUAAUCUCUUCGAUUACUGUGCUUAAAAGCCUAC